AACGAACGCUGGCGGCGUGGAUAAGACAUGCAAGUCGAACGGGACUAAAUCUGCAGCAAUACAGGUUUAGUUUAGUGGCGAACGGGUGCGUAACACGUGGACAAUCUGCCUUAAAGUGGGGGAUAGCUCGGCGAAAGCCGAAUUAAUACUGCAUGUGAUGAGAGACGACAUCGUCUUGAAAUCAAAGCCGGGGCAACCUGGCGCUUUUUGAGGAGUCCGCGGCCUACAGCUUGUUGGUGAGGUAACGGCUCACCAAGGCUAUGACGGGUAGCUGGUCUGAGAGGACGACCAGUCACACUGGAACUGAGACACGGUCCAGACACCUACGGGUGGCAGCAGUCGAGAAUUUUUGACAAUGGGGAAACCCUGAUCGAGCGACGCCGCGUGGAGGAUGAAGGUCGUUCGGGUUGUAAACUCCUGUCAUUUGAGAACAAGGUGCA
rnacentral:rRNA from 1 species